rnacentral:rRNA from 1 species
UACAGAGGGGGCAAGCGUUGUUCGGAAUUACUGGGCGUAAAGGGCGCGUAGGUGGUGACCUAAGCGUGCGGUGAAAGCCCGAGGCUCAACCUCGGGUCGGCCGUGCGAACUGGGUCACUGGAGCAGAAUAGAGGCAGGUGGAAUUCCGGGUGUAGCGGUGGAAUGCGUAGAGAUCCGGAAGAACACCGGUGGCGAAGGCGGCCUGCUGGGUUCUGGCUGACACUGAGGCGCGACAGCGUGGGGAGCAAACAGG